CUACGGUACAUUUCCUUUUUAAACACAGCUGAACAUGUAAGAGGUCUCUAGAAUUUGGUACAGUUGAAGGUGUGUUAAACUUUUCGACCAUAGUACCACAAAAUUCUACGGUACAUUUCCUUUUUAAACACUGCUGAACAUGUGAGAGGUCUUUAGAAUUUGGUACAGUUGAAGAUGUGUUAAACUUUUCGACCAUAGUACCACAACAUUCUACGGUACAUUUCCUUUUUAAACACAGGUGAACAUGAGAGGUCUCUAGAAUUUGGUACAGUUGAAGAUGUGUUAGACUUUUCGACCAUAGUACCACAAAAUUCUACGGUACAUUUCCUUUUUAAACACUGCUGAACAUGUGAGAGGUCUCUAGAAUUUGGUACAGUUGAAGGUGUGUUAAACUUUUUGUCCAUAGUACCAUAACUCUGAACGGUACAUUUCCUUUUGAUGUACCGCAAAACAUCGUAGUGACUGGUCCUUAGAAUUUGGUACAGUUGAACUUUUCGACCAUAGUACCACAAAAUUCUACGGUACAUUUCCUUUUUAAACACAGGUGAACAUGAGAGGUCUUUAGAAUUUGGUACAGUUGAAGAUGUGUUAAACUUUUCGACCAUAGUACCACAAAAUUCUACGGUACAUUUCCUUUUUAAACACUGCUGAACAUGUAAGAGGUCUUUAGAAUUUGGUACAGUUGAAGGUGUGUUAAACUUUUCGACCAUAGUACCACAACAUUCUACGGUACAUUUCCUUUUUAAACACUGCUGAACAUGUAAGAGGUCUUUAGAAUUUGGUACAGUUGAAGGUGUGUUAAACUUUUCGACCAUAGUACCACAAAAUUCUACGGUACAUUUCCUUUUUAAACACUGCUGAACAUGAGAGGUCUCUAGAAUUUGGUACAGUUGAAGGUUUGUUAAACUUUUCGACCAUAGUACCACAAAAUUCUACGGUACAUUUCCUUUUUAAACACUGCUGAACAUGAGAGAGGUCUAUAGAAUUUGGUACAGUUGAAGAUGUGUUAAACUUUUCGACCAUAGUA